rnacentral:rRNA from 1 species
GCGGGACACGUGGUAUCCUGUCUGAAUAUGGGGGGACCAUCCUCCAAGGCUAAAUACUCCUGACUGACCGAUAGUGAACCAGUACCGUGAGGGAAAGGCGAAAAGAACCCCGGCGAGGGGAGUGAAAAAGAACCUGAAACCGUGUACGUACAAGCAGUGGGAGCACAGGUUUACCUGUGUGACUGCGUACCUUUUGUAUAAUGGGUCAGCGACUUAUAUUCUGUAGCAAGGUUAACCGUAUAGGGGAGCCGCAGGGAAACCGAGUCUUAACCGGGCGUUAAGUUGCAGGGUAUAGACCCGAAACCCGGUGAUCUAGCCAUGGGCAGGUUGAAGGUUGGGUAACACUAACUGGAGGACCGAACCGACUAAUGUUGAAAAAUUAGCGGAUGACCUGUGGCUGGGGGUGAAAGGCCAAUCAAACCGGGAGAUAGCUGGUUCUCCCCGAAAGCUAUUUAGGUAGCGCCUCGUGAAUUCAUCUCCGGGGGUAGAGCACUGUUUCGGCCAGGGGGCCAUCCCGGCUUACCAACCCGAUGCAAACUGCGAAUACCGGAGAAUGUUAUCACGGGAGACACACGGCGGGUGCUAACGUCCGUCGUGAAGAGGGAAACAACCCAGACCGCCAGCUAAGGUCCCAAAGUCAUGGUUAAGUGGGAAACGAUGUGGGAAGGCCCAGACAGCCAGGAUGUUGGCUUAGAAGCAGCCAUCAUUUAAAGAAAGCGUAAUAGCUCACUGGUCGAGUCGGCCUGCGCGGAAGAUGUAACGGGGCUAAACCAU